rnacentral:rRNA from 1 species
AACGAACGCUGGCGGCAUGCCUAACACAUGCAAGUCGAACGAGACCUUCGGGUCUAGUGGCGCACGGGUGCGUAACGCGUGGGAACCUGCCCUUAGGUUCGGAAUAACUCCCCGAAAGGGGUGCUAAUACCGGAUAAUGUCUUCGGACCAAAGAUUUAUCGCCUUUGGAUGGGCCCGCGUUGGAUUAGCUGGUUGGUAGGGUAAAAGCCUACCAAGGCGACGAUCCAUAGCUGGUCUGAGAGGAUGAUCAGCCACACUGGGACUGAGACACGGCCCAGACUCCUACGGGAGGCAGGAGUGGGGAAUAUUGGACAAUGGGCGCAAGCCUGAUAAAGCAAUGCCGCGUGAGUGAUGAAGGCCUUAGGGUUGUAAAGCUCUUUUACCCGGGAUGAUAAUGACAGUACCGGGAGAAUAAGCUCCGGCUAACUACGUG